rnacentral:lncRNA from 1 species
CCAAAUGCACAGGAACUCCAUUGAACCACGACUAACGCGAGGGCAAUGGCUAUAGCACUUGGACACUAUCAACACAACUGCACAUAUGAAUGAUCCAUGAUACCAUCCUUAAUUUGCAUCCAUUUUGAAGAUUAACACAAACAGGUAUGCUUCAGUCAGUCAAAGACCACGAAUUUUUGGAUGCAUAUAUAGAGUUGCAAAUCGGAGUUUCAAUUCUCAGAGAGGUAACAUCGCUAAACUUAAACAAGUUUAUGAAUCUUUUUCAAAAAUUCCACCUUUUGUGUUGAAUUAGAUGUUUGAAAAUAGAGCUAAUGGAGUUGAGGAUGUGAAUAGUGUUGUUAUUACCACGGGGAGUCUUAAAUCUACUAAUGGCACAUAAUUGAUUGAACCCUAGAGCAUCAAAGCUCUAUAGUUAGCUCUGAAGAUGUGAUGUUUGUAGAAAUGCAAUAGAGCAUAACUAGAGAGCAGCCAUAUGGGAUUCCUAGAAUUUUCUCCACUUCUCUUGUUAGACAUGAUUCACUCAUUCAGAGGAUAUAAUGUGCCACUUCAAUUCCAUACAUAAUAUGGUGUUAUUUCACGAUUAUGAUUAUGGGGUUGUAGAAUCUUUGAAUCAUGAGCAUCAUAAUCAACACUAUUUCGAUCCUUUGCAUAAUAUUACCAUCUUUUAUGAUGAUAAUAUGGAAGAUGAAGAUCAUAUAGAUGACAAAUACGGGUGAAGCUAGAGGUGACGAUACUAAUCAAGUCCAGUUAUGGGUAGAGUUUCCUUCUUCAAAAAAUAAAUUUCCACCAUUAGCUCCUGGCAGUUGUUUAGUACAGUCAAAUGAUGAAGUUCAAUACACUCCUGGAUCCUCUAAAUCGACCUUAAAUGUGUUAGUUCCUUCAGGAUAAACCCCACCAAUGGUUAUGGAGUAGAUUUUGAUUCUAUAUCUGAGGAAGAUGAUUCAGACGAUGACAUAGAGAUGAAUAUGGAUAUUUUUCAAGUAGAAUAGAGAACAAACUCCUCAAGAAAAGAAAACAAAAGAUGUUUUAGGAUUUAAAUUUGGAUUCUUUGGUGAACAAGAAAAAGGAAUUCCUAGUUGGAUACCGAAGAAAAAUUAAGGCAGGGAAUGACUCUUUCUAGAUAGAAAAUUCUUGUUUUGCAUGGUUAUAAGAGCAAUAUUGGAACUAGAAAGCCAUUGUAUAGAAUUUAGGAUUUGCCAGUUUCUACCAAGUUUGAUCUGCAGGGGUAUCGGCCUAAUCCCCCUCGAUCUAUGAGUUUGUACUUUGCUUUUGCUUUAAUAAAAAGUGGUUUCUUUCUUCUUCUUCUUUUUUAAAGUUGCAUUGAUAGUUAAAUGAGUGAGCCUAUGUUAUGUUGAUAGUUAAAUGAGUUAGCAUAUGCCAUUCAGCUGGUUAAUAUAUUUUCUUUAGAUUGCUGUUGCUUUUAUUCCAUUUCCAAAUAGUGUACUAGAGCUAACUUCAUCUUAUCAACUUUUCCAUCUCCCUUAUAAGCAUGAAGAAAGCUUGAACAAGUUACCUCCAAGAUUUUUCUACUUAAAAUAUACUGAUUCAAUCUUACAUGAUCUUUUAGGUAUGGAAACUUAUUAGUAUUACAAUUCUUAUCAGAAAGUGAACUCUUCAGUUUAUUACCAAGACACAGCUUACUCUUCAUACAUCAAUGCAAAAGGCAAAGAGUGAAGUGCCACUGGUCCAAGUUGGAUGGAACUUAGCCAAACUAAUUGAAUAUCCAUGGCCAACAUAAACACAACCAUAGCUAACUGAUACACCCCCAUAGAUAGUAGCACCAGUGUUAAAUGUCCACAAGAUUUUACCAUUACUGGCAUCCAUGGCAUAGAGAGGGCCAUUAGGAGCCACAGAUCCUGCAAAAAGAAGUCCAUUAACUAUGGUGACCGGCCCGUGGGCCGUGUCGUUGCUAGGGUCUGCAGUGGUCCAAAGGAUUUGGCCCGUGUUUGCAUCCAAUGCUACCCAUCCACCAGCUGUUGUUGUUUGAUUCGAAGGUGCUAAGGUGAAAGGAACUCUAUUUCCAUUGACUAUGUUUGUGUAAACUCGCCUCCCAUCUGUGGCUGCACCCCAUACUCCUCCUCCCUCCAAGCUCCCUGGUCCUGCUUUCUACAUCGCACAAAAAUUCUUAGAUUAGCAAAUUUGUACUAAUAUUUCACGUUCACAAAGUUGAUUCAUCAAGACAUCGACUUUAAAUGAUCAAUAGAUUUAACUUAAAGAAGUGUUUUUAGCCCAUAGUGUAUUUUAAUUAGUUA